GAAUGAUGGACUGACCUGUGAAAUCUACUGCGUUCUUCCUGAGCGUUGCGGCGAUGCGAGCUUCAUUGAGUUGUCAUCUUCAACGAAACCU